CAGCAGCCGCGGUAAUGCGGAGGGUGCAAGCGUUAAUCAGAAUUACUGGGCGUAAAGCGUGCGUAGGCGGUUCGUUAAGUCUGUUGUGAAAGCCCCGGGCUCAACCUGGGAAUGGCAAUGGAUACUGGCGAGCUAGAGUGUGUCAGAGGAUGGUGGAAUUCCCGGUGUAGCGGUGAAAUGCGUAGAGAUCGAGAGGAACAUCAGUGGCGAAGGCGGCCAUCUGGGACAACACUGACGCUGAGGCACGAAAGCGUGGGGAGCAAACAGGAUUAGAUACCCCGGUAGUCCCUGUCUCUUAUAC
rnacentral:rRNA from 1 species